GAUGAGAACGUAGCAAAAUGCGAUACUUGGUGUGAAUUGCAGAAUCCCGUGAACCAUCGAGUUUUUGAACGCAAGUUGCGCCCGAAGCCUUUUGGCCGAGGGCACGUCUGCCUGGGCGUCACGCAUCGCGUCGCCCCCCACAAUUCUCCGUAAAAGGAACAUGUGUUUUGGGGGCGGAUAUUGGUCUCCCGUGCUCAUGGCGUGGUUGGCCGAAAUAGGAGUCCUUUCGAUGGACGCACGAACUAGUGGUGGUCGUAAAAACCCUCGUCUUUUGUUUCGUGCUGUUGCUCGCAAGGUAAACUCUUUAAAAACCCCAAUGUGUCGUCUCUUGACGACGCUUCGACCGCGACCCCAGGUCAGGCGGGACUACCCGCUGAGUUUAAGCAUAUCAAUAAGCGGAGGA
rnacentral:misc_RNA from 1 species